rnacentral:rRNA from 1 species
UACGUAGGCAGCAAGCGUUGUUCGGAGUUACUGGGCGUAAAGGGUGCGUAGGUGGCUCUAUAAGUAUGGUGUGAAAUCUCCCGGCUUAACUGGGAGGGUGCGCCGUAGACUGUGGGGCUAGAGUGUGGGAGAGGAAAGUGGAAUUCCUGGUGUAGCGGUGAAAUGCGUAGAUAUCAGGAGGAACACCGGUGGUGUAAACGGCUUUCUGGACCAUAACUGACACUGAGGCACGAAAGCGUGGGGUAGCAAACAGG